AACGAACGCUGGCGGCAGGCUUAACACAUGCAAGUCGAACGCCCCGCAAGGGGAGUGGCAGACGGGUGAGUAACGCGUGGGAAUCUACCCAGAUCUUCGGAACAACUGAGGGAAACUUCAGCUAAUACCGGAUACGCCCUACGGGGGAAAGAUUUAUCGGUUCUGGAUGAGCCCGCGUUGGAUUAGCUAGUUGGUGGGGUAAUGGCCUACCAAGGCGACGAUCCAUAGCUGGUCUGAGAGGAUGAUCGGCCACACUGGGACUGAGACACGGCCCAGACUCCUACGGGAGGCAGCAAUGGGGAAUAUUGGACAAUGGGCGAAAGCCUGAUCCACCCAUGCCGCGUGAGUGAUGAAGGCCUUAGGGUUGUAAAGCUCUUUCAGUGGGGAAGAUAAUGACGGUACCCACAGAAGAAGCCCCGGCUAACUUCGUGCCAGCAGCCGCCGUAAAAC
rnacentral:rRNA from 1 species